UUCUUCAGGGCAGGGUGCAAGUCCCUACCGGCGGUAAAGCCCGCGAGCCGAAAGGUAUGAUCCGGUGAGAUUCCGGAGCCGACAGUACAGUCUGGAUGAGAGAAGAA
rnacentral:ncRNA from 1 species